UCCUGACAGAGCGCAUGGUGCGCCCUGACACUAGCCACGACAGGAGACUCACAUG
rnacentral:sRNA from 12 species